CCUUUGCCCCUUAGCUCGGGUAUAGAUGUUGAGAAAUAGUUUCUGCACUCUAUAAAAUGUUUAACAAGUGGAAAUUCAAAUUGUAAGCUUCUUCAUUUGAUUUAAUUUACAAAAAAAUAUUAGAAAUUGUACAUUCUGGAAAAUGGUUGGUCCACGCUGUCAACUUGAAAGCAUGAAUCCCUUUUACCUUGGUCCAUAUCCCGAAAAAUCAUGUACUUCCUAUCCAUUUGGCAUAUAGUCGGGCUAUAUUCCAUGUUGGAGCGAUCGCUGUAGGGGUAUGGCCGAGAGAAGACUGUGCAACACUGAUUUAGAUAAAGUGAGCCAGACGGGAAGCAAGUGUUCAAAAUAAUUUAAAAUAUAUAAUUAAAUUUAACGCAAUAAACAACAAAAUUUCCAGUUGAAAUUUGAUGAUUACUGAUUCCGAUGCACAAGGUUGGCAAACUCCUUGAUUGAUUUUGGAUUUUGACUUAAGGAACUUUGGUUUAAAUGAAUUCCGAAGUGACUCAAGCGAGUUUUUGGACAUUAUAUUGUCUUAGCCAGAGUCCACAGUUGGCAGCGUCAUUUGAAAAUAAGUCAUUUCUUGGUACAAAAUAAGAUUUGAUGAUUUUUCUUGUUAAACAGUAGAAGGCACAUUGUUGAUUGAUUCUUGACGCAUAAAUUCUGCUAAGCCAUUAUUGAUACCGAUGCGCGAAUUGCAGAUGGCCUAAUCUCUAAUGAAAAAUAGAUUCUAGUUGACUCUCAGCCUACUUAAACUACAAAAAUAAAACAAAUCAUAUUUCAUAAAUAGUAAAAACAAAGAAUGUGCUAACAAAAAUAUCAGAAAUGUAAACUGGUUUAGUGCAUUUGUGUUUUAAGUGUUGAUAAAUUGAAUCCAGCUUAGGGCCUGUUUUUAUGCACAAAAGACACUUGUUAAGGCAUGGAAGCUCUAAAGUCGUGUACAAUGGAUCAAAUGCUGCCAGCGGUGCGCAGUGCAAUCCUAGAGGUGCAUCAGUCUUUUACACAGGCUCAACGUGAAACUGGGCCUACACUGGAUGCGGCAUGCAUGGACGAGGCUAUGAUAGAGAUAUGCAACAGGUUUCGUUGUCUGCUCUGCUCAGUUGUAGAUGUGAUGGCGCAUUUUGGCGGUUAAUCAGCAGCGCUUUGACUUGACUUUCAAAAUACACGAUGCGGCAUUUAUUGAUAAAAAUUUCAAGUGUGAAGCAAUGCUUGGAUGAUAGCUCUCCUUGACUGGACCGGAAAUAAAGUCCUGUUUGCUAUGGAAAAUUUGCACACCUGUGUUGGAGUGAUUGGAGCUUUGGCGUUGUUGAUCACUAUGACACACACGACAUCUCAGGUGGUGGUUAAUGCCGCGACACCAUUUUGCGAACUGGUCGAUGUAGGCGCUAAGGCCAUCGAGCGCGUUGCACCUGGUCAACAGAUUCCUUUCAUUGAUUGUGAGAUUAUCCAUGGUCCCUGGUACGCCGUAAAGAAAACGGGUCAAUGCAUUUAUAAGAUAAUGGAGCUAUUUGCUAGCGCCGAUGCUCAACCGUAUUAAUCCAAAACAAAACAAUGGCGGACUAUAAAUGUCUAACAGUAUAGUGGCCAUAAGUGAACAAGCUGCCAACCUGAAAAAAAGAAAUGAUUGAUAAUAUUCAGCGUUAUAACGCUGUAUAUAUACAAGCUCUGUUCGCUAGAUCCACUUACUGCAGUUGUACCUCUUAAGUUUAUGGAAAAGGCUACGGAUAAAUCCAUGGAGCGAGAACCACAUAUAUAUACAGUCAUAUAAAAUGCAAGUGGAGAGCUAUCAAAUCAAAUCCAGUUCAGUCACAAUGUUUUAUUAAUGGAAAUGUUGUAAAACAAAGUCGACUUUGGAAAGUGAAACUGGUCUUGCUUUGGCAGCUGUGUCGUUUAUUUUGUAGUUGAGCUCAUUCCUUCCCAAUAUUUCGGCUAGUGAACAUAUAUAGAAUGAUUUAAAAAAAUAACAAAAAUUCAAAUCUGUUUGGAACUGAUAUUCACAUACAUUUUUGGCCUAAAAAAAUAAUAUCAUCUGUAGUAUAAUAUUAGCCAAAAGAACUUGUAGCUGCGAAUUUCAGAAUUUUAAUAUGUAUAUCGUUUGCAAAUUCGAUCCAUUCUAUGUUGGACCCUGCCCUCCUGGAUGUCUUGUACCCGCUGGCGGCGGUGCCAGCUGCCGGCCCUGCGGCGGCUGCUGCGGUAACGGAUGCUGCUGAACUGGGUUAUCAGCCUAGUUCGGGUGCUCAAUAAAACCUACUGGUGUUAUAGUUCUUUAUAGCUUUUACAAUGACGCUUAUGACCCAAGUGGAAUUUGCACUAGCUACGGCUAAAGAUAUAUGUGAUUAUAUUUAACAUCUUCCUUAUGUUCAUUUCAAAAUUCUCAAUAAAAAAAAUAAUGAAAAAGUUUUAA